rnacentral:rRNA from 1 species
UACAUGGGGUGCAAACGUUGCUCGGAAUUAUUGGGCGUAAAGCGCACGUAGGCGGUUUGUUAAGUCGGAUGUGAAAUCCCUCGGCUCAACUGAGGAAGUGCACCCGAAACUGCGAGGCUAGAGUACUGGAGAGGUUGGUGGAAUUCUCGGUGUAGAGGUGAAAUUCGUAGAUAUCGAGAGGAACACCGGUGGCGAAGGCGGCCAACUGGACAGAUACUGACGCUGAGGUGCGAAAGCGUGGGGAGCAAACAGG